rnacentral:rRNA from 1 species
GACGAACGCUGGCGGCGUGCUUAACACAUGCAAGUCGAACGAAGUGGCGAACGGGUGAGUAACGCGUAAUCAACCUGCCCUUCAGAGGGGGACAACAGUUGGAAACGACUGCUAAUACCGCAUACUGAAGGAGGGGAUUGCGUCUGAUUAGCUAGUUGGAGGGGUAACGGCCCACCAAGGCGAUGAUCAGUAGCGUGUCUGAGAGGAUGAACGGCCACAUUGGGACUGAGACACGGCCCAGACUCCUACGGGAGGCAGCAGUGGGGAAUCUUCCGCAAUGGACGAAAGUCUGACGGAGCAACGCAGCGUGAGUGCUGCCGGCCUGCGGGUUGUAAAGCUUUGUUAAUCGGGACGCGUUACCGGAAUAGAAUGCCACGGCUAACUACGUGCCAGCAGCCGCGGUAAUU